UACGUAGGUGGCAAGCGUUGUCCGGAUUUACUGGGCGUAAAGGAUGCGUAGGCGGACUUUUAAGUGGGAUGUGAAAUUCCGAGGCUCAACCUCGGCGCUGCAUUCCAAACUGGAAGUCUAGAGUGCGGGAGAGGAAAGUGGAAUUCCUAGUGUAGCGGUGAAAUGCGUAGAGAUUAGGAGGAAUACCGAUGGCGAAGGCAGGUCUCUGGGCUGACACUGACGCUCAUGCACGAAAGCGUGGGGAGCAAACAGG
rnacentral:rRNA from 1 species